rnacentral:rRNA from 1 species
UACGGAGGGUGCAAGCGUUAUCCGGAUCCACUGGGUUUAAAGGGAGCGUAGGUGGCUUUGUAAGUCAGUGGUGAAAUCUUAGAGCUCAACUCUAAAACUGCCAUUGAUACUGCUUAGCUUGAAUCACGUCGAGGUGGAUGGAAUAUUACAUGUAGCGGUGAAAUGCUUAGAUAUGUAAUAGAACACCGAUUGCGAAGGCAGUUCACUAGGCGUGUAUUGACACUGAGGCUCGAAAGCGUGGGGAUCAAACAGG